UACGAAGGGGGCGAGCGUUGUUCGGAAUUACUGGGCGUAAAGGGCGCGUAGGCGGCCGAGCAAGUUAGAUGUGAAAGUCCUGGGCUUAACCUGGGGACUGCAUUUGAUACUGCUUGGCUUGAAUUCGGGAGAGGAUAGCGGAAUUCCCAGUGUAGAGGUGAAAUUCGUAGAUAUUGGGAAGAACACCGGUGGCGAAGGCGGCUAUCUGGACCGACAUUGACGCUGAGGCGCGAAAGCCAGGGGAGCAAACGGG
rnacentral:rRNA from 1 species